rnacentral:rRNA from 1 species
CCGUAGCCCAAGAGAUCGGGAUAACACCUGGAAACAGAUGCUAAUACCGGAUAACAACAGAUGAUGCCUAUCAACUGUUUAAAAGAUGGUUCUGCUAUCACUCUUGGAUAGACCUGCGGUGCAUUAGCUAGUUGGUAGGGUAACGGCCUACCAAGGCGAUGAUGCAUAGCCGAGUUGAGAGACUGAUCGGCCACAUUGGGACUGAGACACGGCCCAAACUCCUACGGGAGGCAGCAGUG